UUAGUCGUAAAAAUAAAAUAUUCAUAACAAAAUAUUUCGCCCGAGAACUACGAGCCACUGCUUAAAACUCAAAGGACUUGGCGGUGCUUUACACCCACCUAGAGGAGCCUGUUUUAUAAUCGAUAAACCCCGAUAUACCUCACCAUCUCUUGCUUAUAACAGUCUAUAUACCGCCAUCUUCAGCAAACCCUAAAAAGGCAAAACAGUAAGCACAACUAUCUAAUCAUAAAAACGUUAGGUCAAGGUGUAACUUAUGAGAUGGNAAAAAUGGGCUACAUUUUCUUAAUAAGAACAUCCACGAU
rnacentral:rRNA from 1 species